CCGUAGGUGAACCUGCGGAAGGAUCAUUACCGAGUGCGGGCCCUCGCGGCCCAACCUCCCACCCUUGUCUCUAUACACCUGUUGCUUUGGCGGGCCCACCGGGGCCACCUGGUCGCCGGGGGACGCACGUCUCCGGGCCCGCGCCCGCCGAAGCGCUCUGUGAACCCUGAUGAAGAUGGGCUGUCUGAGUACUGUGAAAAUUGUCAAAACUUUCAACAAUGGAUCUCUUGGUUCCGGCAUCGAUGAAGAACGCAGCGAAAUGCGAUAAGUAAUGUGAAUUGCAGAAUUCCGUGAAUCAUCGAAUCUUUGAACGCACAUUGCGCCCCCUGGCAUUCCGGGGGGCAUGCCUGUCCGAGCGUCAUUUCUGCCCUCAAGCACGGCUUGUGUGUUGGGUGUGGUCCCCCCGGGGACCUGCCCGAAAGGCAGCGGCGACGUCCGUCUGGUCCUCGAGCGUAUGGGGCUCUGUCACUCGCUCGGGAAGGACCUGCGGGGGUUGGUCACCACCAUGUUUUACCACGGUUGACCUCGGAUCAGGUAGGAGUUACCCGCUGAACUUAAGCAUAUCAAU
rnacentral:rRNA from 1 species